GGGCAAGUGGUGGAAUGGCAUACACGCCGGACUUAAAAUCCUGUGGCCGUAAGGCCGUGUGGGUUCGACUCCCACCUUGCCCA
rnacentral:tRNA from 1 species